GAGUAUACUUCCAGUAUGUAGUGGAGGUGGUCCAGGGAGCUGAGUAUACUUCCAGUAUGUAGUGGAGGAGGUCCAGGGAGCUGAGUAUACUUCCAGUAUGUAGUGGAGGUGGUCCUGGGAGCUGAGUAUACAUCCAGUAUGUAGUGGAGGUGAUUCUGGGAGCUGAGUAUACUUCCAGUAUGUAGUGGAGGUGGUGUUGGGAGCUGAGGAUACUUCCAGUAUGUAGUGGAGGUGGUCCAAGGAGCUGAGUAUACUUCCAGUAUGUAGUGGAGGUGGUCCAGGGAGCUGAGUAUACAUCCAUUAUGUAGUGGAGGUGGUCCUGGGAGCUGAGGAUACUUCCAGUAUGUAGUGGAGGUGGUCCUGGGAGCUGAGUAUACUUCCAGUAUGUAGUGGAGGUGGUCCUGGGAGCUGAGUAUACUUCCAGUAUGUAGUGGAGCUGGUCCUGGGAGCUGAGUAUACUUCCAGUAUGUAGUGGAGGUGGUCCUGGGAGCUGGG
rnacentral:lncRNA from 1 species